UGGGGAAUAUUGGGCAAUGGGUGAAAGCCUUACCCAGCAACGCCGCGUGAGGGAAGAAGGUUUUCGGAUUGUAAACCUCUGUCCUGGGGGGACGAAGGGAAAGUGACGGUACCCCGGGGAGGAAGCCCCGGGCUAACUACGUGCCAGCAGCCGCGGUAAUACGUAGGGGGCGAGCGUUGUCCGGAAUUAUUGGGCGUAAAGGGGCGCGUAGACGGCCGAGUAAGUUAUAGGUGAAAGCCCAUCUUUCAAGGAUGGAAUUGCCUGUAAUACUGCCUGGCUUGAGUGCAGGAGAGGGAAGCGGAAUUCCUAGUGUAGCGGUGAAAUGCGUAGAUAUUAGGAGGAACACCAGUGGCGAAGGCGGCUUUCUGGACUGUAACUGACGUUGAGGCGCGAAAGCGUGGGGAGCAAACAGGAUUAGAUACC
rnacentral:rRNA from 1 species